UGGUAUAUGACCACAUGGUAGCAACAUGAAUAUUCAUAUGCUCCCGGGAGUUGAGAUUGAUAAUAUCGAUGUGCCGUUGAGGAUUGACAUCCAACGAUCGAGGG